AACGAACGCUGGCGGCAGGCUUAACGCAUGCAAGUCGAGCGCCCCGCAAGGGGAGCGGCAGACGGGUGAGUAACGCGUGGGAAUCUACCCAUCACUACGGAACAACUCCGGGAAACUGGAGCUAAUACCGUAUACGUCCUUCGGGAGAAAGAUUCAUCGGUGAUGGAUGAGCCCGCGUUGGAUUAGCUAGUUGGUGGGGUAAUGGCCUACCGAGGCGACGAUCCAUAGCUGGUCUUAGAGGAUGAUCAGCCACACCGGGACGGGGACACGGCCCAGACUCCUACGGGAGGCGGCAGUGGGGAAUAUUGGACAAUGGGCGAAAGCCUGAUCCAGCCAUGCAGCGUGAGUGAUGAAGGCCCUAGGGUUGUAAAGCUCUUUCACCGGUGAAGAUAAUGACGGUAACCGGAGAAGAAGCCCCGGCUAACUUCGUGCCAGCAGCCGCCGUAAAAC
rnacentral:rRNA from 1 species